CUGAAUGCAACUUGAUGGAAAAUCCUCUAGAAUGGUGGAUGGAUUUCAGUGCCACCAGCCAUGUUUGUGCAAAUAAGGAGUUGUUUGCUGCUUUUUCUCCGGCUCAAGGUGAACAGAAGAUAUUUAUAGCCAACUCUGCAACUGUAAAAGUUGAAGGAACAAGAAAAGUCUGCCUGAAAAUGACAUCAAGCAAAGUGUUGACUUUGAACAAUGUCCUGUAUGUACUGGAGUUAUGAAAGAACUUGAUUUCUAUAUCACUUCUUGGCAAAAAUAAAUUCAAAUGAGUAUUUGUUUUUGAAAAAAUUAUACUUAGUAAAGGAGAAGUGUAUGUAGGAAAAGUCUACAUCACUGAGGGCCUAUUCAAAAUGAAUGUAAUGAAUGUUGAAAUCAAUAAAAGUUUAGUUUCUUCUUACUUGCUUGAAUCUAAUAAUUUAUGGCAUGAACGAUUAGGAUAUGUCAAUUACAAAACAUUGUGAAAACUGAUUAACUUAGAAGUUUUACCAAACUUUGAGUGCAAUAAAUCAAAAUGUCAAACGUGUGUGGAAUCAAAGUAUGCUAAGCAUCUGUAUAAUUCUGUUGAAAGGAAUUUCAAUCCCUUAGACUUAAUACACACUGACAUUUUUUAUAUGAAGUCAACGCCAUCUCAUGGUGGAAAAAAGUAUUUUAUAACUUUUAUUGAAUAUUGCACUAGAUAUUUUUAUGUCUAUUUGCUAAAUAGUAAGGAUGAAACAAUAAAUGCAUUUAGGCAAAAUAAAGCAGAAGUUGAAAAUUAGUUAGAGAAAAAGAUCAAAAUGAUAAGAAGUGAUAGGGGUGGAGAAUAUGAAUCUUCCUUUGUGGAAAUAUGUGUAGAGAAUGGAAUUUUCCAUCAAACUACGGCCCCGUAUUCACCUCAAUCUAAUGGAAUUGUGGAAAGAAAAAUCGAACCUUGAAGGAAAUGAUGAAUGUCUUACUUAUAAUUUCAGGUUUACCGCAAAAAUUAUGGGCAGAAACUAUCCUUACAGCUAACCGAAUACUCAAUAGAGUUCCCCAUAUUAAGACACAAUUAAUUCCAUAUGAAAAAUGAAAAGGAAGGAAACUCAACUUGAAAUAUUUCAAAGUGUGGGGGUGUCUAGCGAAGGUCCUAGUUUCAAUGCCUAAAAGGGUAAAAAUAGGACCUAAGACGGUGGAUUGCGUGCUCAUAGGAUAUGCUAAAAGUUGUAAAGCAUUUUGGUUUUUGGUUCAUAAAUUCGAACAUUCGGAUAUCAAUGAAAAUAUGAUAAUUGAAUCAGAUAAUGCUGAAUUGUUUGAACAUAUUUAUCCGUAUAAAACUAGACAUGAACAGUCUAGUGGGGGGUCUAAACGAUCUCGAGAUGAACCAACUGAGGAUGUACAUAAUAAUGAGAAUCCAAGACGUAUUAAAAUUUCAAAUAAUGGCAAUCAUAAUACUGGCUAUCUGAAACCUUCAGUACUGGCUCACUGGCAGACCUAGGAAGCUUUCUUUUUGGACGCACAACAUAUAUGGGAGUUUUAUGUGGUGGCAUAACAUUUUUCUUAGAAAAUGAGCCUCAAACAUUUAAAGAAGCAAUACCUUCGUCAGACUCAUCUUUUUGAAAAAAGGCAGUCAAUAGUGAGAUUGAUUCAAUCUUAAUCAACCAUACAUGGGAAUCGGUUGAUCUUCUUCCAGGAAAUAAACCUUUAGGUUCAAAAUGGAUUUUCAAAAGGAAAAUAAAAGCGGAUAGUACUAUUGACAAAUGCAAGGCAAGACUUGUAGUAAAAGAAUUCAAAUAGAAAGAAGGCCUUGAUUGCUUUGAUACAUAUUUGCCAGUAGCUACGAUAACGUCAAUUCGAAUGUUAAUUGCCUUAGCGGCGGUAUAUGGUAUUGAAAUUCAUCAAAUGAAUGUGUAAACAACAUUUCUGAAUGGAGAAUUGGAGGAGGAAAUCUAUAUGGAACAACCCGAGAGUUUUGUGGUUCCAGGAAAGGAAAAUAAGGUCUGUAAACUUGUUAAGUUGUUGUAUGGACUAAAACAAGCACCUAAACAAUGACAUGCAAAAUUUAAUCAAAUCAUGUUGGCAAAUGGAUUCAAGAUAAAUGAAUGUGAUAAAUGUGUAUACAUUAAAGACACUACAAAUCACAAAGUCAUUAUUUGUUUAUAUGUGGAUGAUAUGUUGAUCAUCAGUAGAGACAUUUCUGACAUAAAUGCUACAAAACGAAUGCUCGAGAGCAAGUUUGAUAUGAAAAACCUUGGAGUUACGGAUGUGAUCUUAGGAAUAAGAAUCCAUAGAACUCAACAAGGGUUAGCAUUAUCACAGUCUCAUUACAUUGAAAAGGUACCUGAUAAAUUCAAGUAUUUCAAAUUUGGAAUUGCCAAGACUCCAUUGGAUGUGAGCUUCACACUUCAAAAGAAUGAAGGUGAAAGUGAUUCACAAUUGGAGUACGCAAGAGUGUUGGGAUGUUUAAUGUAUAUAAUGAAUUGUACACAACCGGACAUAGUAUGUGCUAUCAGUAGGUUAAGUCAGUACACGAGUAAUACCAACAAAACUCAUUGGAUGGCAAUGAAAAGAGUUUUGGGGUAUCUUAAAUACACUCAAGACUAUGUUUUACAUUAUAAUAAAUAUCCCGUAGUACUUGAAGGAUAUAGUGAUGCAAAUUGGAUUACUGGAUCAAAUGAAGUUAAAUCUAUCAGUGGAUAUGUAUUUAAAAUAGAUGGAGGAGCAGUCUCUUAGAAUUCAUACAAACAGAUAUGUAUUGCUUAAUUUACGAUGGAAUCAGAAUUUAUCUCAUUAGUUAAAGGUAGUGAAAAAGUAAAAUGGCUUUGAAAUUUCUUGGACGAUAUUUCUUAUUGGCCAAAACCAUUGGCACCGAUAUGCAUACAAUGUAAUAGUCAAGCAGAAAUAGGUAGAGAAAAAAGUAUGAUGUACAAUGGUAAAUCUUGUCACAUAAGAUGGAGACAUAAUAUCGUUAUAGAACUUCUCUCUAGUGGAAUUAUCACUGUUGACUAUAUAAAGUCAAAGGAUAAUAUGUUAGAUCCACUUACAAAAGGUCUAACUAGAAAAGGAGUUGAGAGGACAUCCAAGGGAAUGAAUUUAUGACAUAAGACAAGUCAGCAUGACGGUAACUCUAUCUAGCAGACUACAGAUCCCAAGAGCUAGGUUCAAGAAGAUCAUACAAAGUUGUGUCUGAUAGGUUCAACAUUAUCAAUAUACCCAACCCAUUCUCAUGAUGUAGACAGUGUUUAGUAAACAAGGAUAAGACUUAUGGUGUGAAGUCUUUUAAUGAUUAUCUAAAUUUGGCAGAUUUGACCAAAUAGUUUAAUCUAUAGGACUGAAAAUUUAGAAAUCAACUAUGUGAGGGCGAAGUGAAAGCCGCUUCAAGGAGAAUGUUAGAAAAGUCCUAUUCUCUAAGCUCUUAUGAGACCGAGACGUGUUCAUGGCUGAAAUGAUUAAAAAUAUGAAAACCAUAAAUGGUAAACGGCUGGUUUUGUGACAUGUGUUGUCUAGGUAUACAUUAAAUCUUGAUGGUUCAAAGAUAUCAAAUCUACUGAUUGACCAAGUACAUAUAAUGCAUGUUCACUACGGAAAGUUUAAAGAGAAACUCACUUAUCCAGAUGCAAUCAAUUUUUUCUUGAUGAUCACAUACCUGUUCGUAAAGUUUUACAAAAAGUAUCCAUUCCCCAGUCACGUGGGGGAUUGUUGGGUUCAAUUGGUGUGAAUGAAAAAUAAAAAGUAGCUUGGAAGGGACACAACUGUUCGAGGAAAAGACACACUAGUUCGGGAAAAGGUAUGACUGUUUGGAUGGUUGUGGCUGUUCGAAAAAAACACAGUCUUUCGAAUGGACAUACAUGACCUUUUAGAAAGGAUACACCUUUUCGGUGAAUCAUUGUUAUCUUUCGGAAGGGGCACUUAAUAACUAUAUAAACUUGUAUUUUUCCAUAGGUUUAGUAUGAAUUUUUCUGCACUUAAAAACAUUUCUUUUCUUCUAAAAUACUCCGUGUGAUCAUCUAAAUUUUGAGUGAGUUCGAAGAGAAUUCGAUCAUUUGAGGUACCACUACAGUUGGAUUGUUAAGAUAUUUUAUACUGGGAGGAAAAUUCUGCAACCUCGAGUAUUUGAGGGCAAUUCGGUUGACACUCCGUGAAUUCGGAGGACUUGGUUUUUUCUGCUUCAUCUAACUUUCUUUAAAAUACUGGAAACAUACUUCUUUGAAAGGUCGUUUUUAUCUUGUGUUGAAGGUGUUGAAAACUUCAUAAGUGUUUUUGAUUUAUUCUUAAACUUGUGUUGAAGUUGUUUUGCCAAAAUACAGAUUUUCAUGUACCCGAAACAACAAUGAUAUCGGUCCUUCAAGUUGGUCCAUAAUUCUAGUGGAUCUUUCACAGUUAAAUAUUCAGUUUUUAAUCCUUCGUGGAAGUGAUAACGAAUAAAAAUCAUAAUUUUUGCCUUAUAUUGACUUGAUGCGUUGUUUUCUUGUUUAAUAGUAUUCCCAAGACCUCUAGCGUCAAGGUGAAUUUCAGCAUCAAGGACCCAUGAUAAAUAAUUCUUUUCGAUGAUGUCCAGUGCUACAAACUCAAGUUUUGAUAAAUUUGACAUAUUAAAACUAUCAUAAAAAGAUUUGAUUAGUUAGAUAUAAUGAUACUUUUGGAAACAGAAUAACUAUCUCAAAGAGAUUUAAAUAGAAUUAUAAAUUAUUGUAAUCCAGAAGUGUUAAUGACGCGGUCCAAAGAAUUUUAAUCAUAAAAAAAUAAUAUGUAAUAUUGAUCACAAGUACUUGUACAUAAAUUGUUAAAACAAAGUUAUAUAAUAAUAAUGAUUAUUUUAAUUCCAAACUUAACAUAAAUAGUACAAUCAGUAUGUCCUUUAAAUAUCAGUAUUAUGAAGUUAAUGAGCAGAGGGACAAGAAACUUUAACUAAUAGGUAAGAGCAUUUUUUUUAAACUUGUGAAAAGGUAUGAAUAGUUGAUUAAGUAGUUUGGUUAUCCUUAUAGUAUCUAGUAAUCAACACAGCUUUAUGUGAACAAUUACCAUAUCAAUUCAAAUCGAGUUGCUAAUUAUUUCCCUUUUUUUAAUAAUUUUUUCACAAAUAUACUUAAUCUAAAUGAUGUAAUUGAUUCUUUAGAAAUAUUUAGCUUAAGAUAAUUAUUUAGUUAAAAAUAAAAAAAAUUGUCUAAAGGUGAUAGUGGAAAGAAUAUACCUGAAGAAGAGUCUCGUACUGAUAACAUAUUGUAAUAUAAAGACCGAAUAAAAUUAGAAGGAAA
rnacentral:lncRNA from 1 species